rfam:Oryza barthii chromosome 9, whole genome shotgun sequence.
AAUAGGUGUAGUUUUGCACUAUUCAUAUCCAACGUUUGACCGUUCAUCUUAUUUAAAAUAAUUUUAUGAUUAAUAUUUUUAUUGUUAUUAGAUAAUAAAACAUGAAUACUACUUUAUGUGUGACUAAUUUUUUUAAAUUUUUCAUAAUUUUUUUAAAUAAGAUGGGCGGUCAACCGUUGGAUAUGGAUACCCACGACUGUACUUAUU